GCGGGGUCCUUCCUCUGGCACUCCUUGUCAGAGCCUGAGCUGCACGCAGUGCCCUUGGCCUUGAGCUCUGGUAUCUUAUGCCUUAUUUUUGUGGUGGAGAAUUCUUAAGAGUUGUGGGAUGCUGACAAAGUUUAGCCCCAAAGUUUCUGCCUCCUGGGGUCUGGCUCUACUUCUACCACAAGCUUCAGCAUGGCAGAAUCUCUCCCCGCUUUCUCUGAGCUGAGGACGGAAAUGAGCAUCCUGGAAACCAGCCAGUACUUGUGCUCCCAGCUGGAAAAAACCAAACAGAGCUUCCGAGGCCUCACAGAGAAGUUCCUCACAUCCAGGGCUACUGCCUAUACCCUGGCCAACCAGCUGCAGAAAUACAGGAAGCCCUGUGUGGUCCCAGUCAUCAGAGUGCCCGUCUUCCCUCUGAGAAACUAAACACUCCCCAAACUUAAUUCCUCUCUCUCCAUCAAAAUAAAUCUCAUCCUGACUAUGCUCCUGGAAAGAGAGUGAAGAGCACAAAGCCCUCACUGACUCCGUGCUGGAGGAGGAAGCGCCGCUUGGGGGAGAGCCUGCCGAGAAGACGAGAUUGGGGUCGGCUGCAGGCUGGGGGUAUAUCCCCGAAUUCAGGCUUAGGCCCGAGAACUGACCCACUUAUGACAGAAGAUACAGGAAGAGAAAGGUGUCUGUUAUCUUUUCAUUCAGCAUAUGAAGAGCAUAGUCCAGUCUUUUGAGAUCCUCCUCAGGACACUGACAUUCCCAGCCACCAGGGACAGAGAUUCCGUGAGCAGCUGGCCCAAGGAAGCCAGCUGGCAGCCUGGCCUGCACACUAGUCAACAGGCCCAGCAGGGGGCGCCAGGAGGAAGCAGUGGAUGAAGGCCAGGGAGACACCCUAGGUAGCAGGAUUGGACUCCUUCCAGUCUCGGUGGGUGACUCUCAGCAGCUUCCCAGCACCAGCUCCUUCCCGCCUGACAUGCAGGAAGCCAGCGCUGCUGUGGCAGCCCCACAAAUGACUGCUUCUGAAGGUGCAUGUUUGAAGCAAGGCACAUCUCCUGGGGGUUGUGAAAGGCCUUCAUUUUUCUCC